rnacentral:rRNA from 1 species
CCUACGGGGUGCUGCAGUAGGGAAUCUUUCACAAUGGGCGAAAGCCUGAUGGAGCAACGCCGCGUGCAGGAUGAAGGCCUUCGGGUUGUAAACUGCUUUUAUAAGCGAGAAAUAUGAUGGUAACUUAUGAAUAAGGAUCGGCUAACUACGUGCCAGCAGCCGCGGUCAUACGUAGGAUCCGAGCAUUAUCCGGAGUGACUGGGUGUAAAGAGUUGCGUAGGUGGCAUAAUAAGUAGCUAGUAAAAUCUGGUGGCUCAACCAUUCAGACUAUUAGCUAAACUGUUAAGCUCGAGACCGUUAGGGGUAACUGGAAUUUCUAGUGUAGGAGUGAAAUCCGUAGAUAUUAGAAGGAACACCAAUAGCGUAGGCAGGUUGCUGGGACGGUUCUGACACUAAGGCACGAAAGCGUAGGGAGCAAACGGGAUUAGAUACCCCUGUAGUC